rnacentral:lncRNA from 12 species
GGGGGGGGGGGGGGGGGGGGGGGGGGGGGGGGGGGGGGGGGGGGGGGGGGGGGGGGGGGGGUGCGGGCAGCGGCGGUACGCUGGGCCUCCCGGUCCUGGGGUCCCUCCACGCUGAGCCCCUCCUCCCUGCCCCUUUCCCUGCCUCCCUUCCUGCCUUCUCAGCUCUCCAGAGAACUCCCACAGCUCCCUGUUUCAAGCGCGUCACGUUUUUUUAAGAAACAUUGAGUGCUCCUUUCACAUUACGCCACGAGCUGAGGACCAAUUGAGACUUCAGUUAGAAUAAAUGUUAUAAAUACUCUGAUAAAAUAAUCGACUAGAAAGAUAAAAGAGGUGGUUUUGAUUACAAGUAGAAAAUUGUAAAGUAUAACGUAUAGGAAUGUCAGGAGUGUUGUGUUUAAAAUAUGCAGCAGAAACCUCGCCAAGAAGCUACUGGAUGUCUUACGUUUUUUGUUCAAGAAACUCUGGAGACCAUAAUGCAGACCAGAAUGUCCUUGGAGGAGUAAUUCCCUGUGUUCCUGGCACUGAAAUAAAGAAGGCUCUGCUUAUUCACAUUUUGCAGAAAAGCUACACUGUGAAAAGCCAGUGUCUGUAAGAGAGACAGAGAAGUCCUGCAAAUUUAUUGCAAUGAAGGGAGAGAGUGCACUGGGCCAUACCCCUGUGGAUUGUCUCUCAAGGUUUUGGAGGGUGCAGCCUCCUUCUAUCCUGAACUCCUGACCGCAGGUUGCCUUGUUCCUUUCUCCAUUGGCUGAGGUAAUAGGAAAGCACAGACUUCCUGAAUCACCUACUACAUAUUCCCUCUUGAACAUGUGUUGCCAUUUUGAUUCAAUAAACUGUAUUAAGAUAGUAGUAAACCUUAUUAAUUAAUGUUAGUUGACAUUAGUAGUAGUAGUUAUGCUAAGGCUUGGUAGGCCUCAUGUAACCGGUAGAUGAACUUUAUAAAGAAUUUCGCAAUGUAAGCAAUGUAGGGGGGGGGGGGGGGGGGGGGGGGGGGGGGGGGGGGGGGGGGGG